rnacentral:rRNA from 1 species
AGACAUGCAAGUCGAACGCUCUCUUCGGAGAGAGUGGCAGACGGGUGAGUAACGCGUGGGAACCUACCCAGUUGUACGGAACAACACAGAGAAAUUUGUGCUAAUACCGUAUACGCCCUAUGGGGGAAAGAUUUAUCGCAAUUGGAUGGGCCCGCGUUUGAUUAGCUAGUUGGUGAGGUAAUGGCUCACCAAGGCGACGAUCAAUAGCUGGUCUGAGAGGAUGAUCAGCCACACUGGGACUGAGACACGGCCCAGACUCCUACGGGAGGCAGCAGUCGGGAAUAUUGGACAAUGGGGGCAACCCUGAUCCAGCCAUGCCGCGUGUGUGAUGAAGGCCCUAGGGUUGUAAAGCACUUUCAACGGUGAAGAUAAUGACGGUAACCGUAGAAGAAGCUCCGGCUAACUUCGUGCCAGCAGCCGCGGUAAUACGAAGGGAGCUAGCGUUGUUCGGAAUUACUGGGCGUAAAGCGCGCGUAGGCGGGCUAUUAAGUCAGAGGUGAAAUCCCGGGGCUCAACCCCGGAACUGCCUUUGAUACUGGUAGUCUUGAGUUCGAGAGAGGUGAGUGGAAUUCCGAGUGUAGAGGUGAAAU